rnacentral:rRNA from 1 species
GACGAACGCUGGCGGCGUGGAUAAGGCAUGCAAGUCGCGCGACAGAUUGGCUUCGGCCAAUUAUGGAGCGGCGAACGGGUGAGUAACACGUGAAUAAUCUACCCCUUCGCUCCGGAUAAUUCAUCGAAAGAUGUUGUAAUACGGGGGAGGUUCUUCCUUUGGCAUCUUAGGAAGAAAGAACGAGCAAUCGGCGCAGGGAUGAGUUCGCGGUCUAUCAGGUAGUUGGUGGGGAAUGGCCUACCAAGCCUACGACGGGUAGCUGGUCUGAGAGGAUGAUCAGCCACACUGGAACUGAGACACGGUCCAGACACCUACGGGGUGGCAGCAGUUUCGAAUCAUUCACAAUGGGCGAAAGCCUGAUGGUGCGACGCCGCGUGAGGGAUGAAGGUCUUCGGAUCGUAAACCUCUGUCGACCGGGGAAGAAACGCCUCAGGUUAAUAUCCUGAAGCCUGACUUAACCCGGAGA